rnacentral:rRNA from 1 species
AUUGAACGCUGGCGGCAGGCCUAACACAUGCAAGUCGGGCGAGCGGCGGACGGGUGAGCAAUGUAUGAGGAUCUGCCUGAUAGCGGGGGAUAUCUAUUGGAAACUGUCGCUUAUCCCGCAUACCAUCAGCUGUGCCAAGAUGGGAUUGGCUAGUAGGUUGGGUAAUGGCGCACCUAGGCGACGAUCUCUAGCUGGUCUGAGAGGAUGACAAGCCACACUGGAACUGAGACACGGUCCAGACUCCUACGGGAGGCAGCAGUGGGGAAUAUUGCACAAGGGGCGCAAGCCUGAUGCAGCCAUGCUGCGGGUGUGAAGAAGGCCUUCGGGUUGUAAAGCACUUUCAGCGAGGAGGCGUUACUCGCAGAAGAAGCACCGGCUAACUCCGUGCCAGCAGCCGCGGUAAUUC